rnacentral:ncRNA from 1 species
CCCGCUGAACUUAAGCAUAUCAAUAAGCGGAGGAGAAGAAACCAACCAGGAUUCCCUCAGUAACGGCGAGUGAAGAGGGA